UUGAACACCAUUUCAUCUGACUUGAAAUCAGCCGACCGGCAACGGUCCGUGAGUUCGAAUCUCACCGCUUCCGCCA
rnacentral:tRNA from 1 species